UCGAACAUUUUUAUGUAAAUUAUUAAUAAGUAAUAGCAUGGUUUCUCGUGAAAUUUGGAUAAACAUGCACUCGUGAGUUUUUUCAAAGACCUCAAAUACCACUCGUCCUUCGGACUCGUGCUAUUUUGAGGUCUUUGAAAAACUCACUCGUGCAUGUUAUCCAAAUUGCACUCGAAACCAUGCUAUUACCUAUACUAACAACAUUGUUUGGUAUAGGAUACACAAUAUAGGACUAACGCGAUGAAGGAAGGCAAAAAUGUGUCGUUAGUUUGGUUGCAAACUACAGUACAAAUAUGAUAUAGUACAAACGGACACCUCCUGUUAGCGGACACUAUGACUUGGUCCUGAGGAUGUCCGCGUAGGGGAGAUGCGAGUGUUUAUCUCCAUUUUACUUGCGAGCUAGGGCAACAACAUCAUCUUCCUGAGGUUUCAGUCAUCAUUUUGAGAAAAUCUUUAAAGUUCACCCUUCCAUCUUGAUCAAAAUCAGCUUGAAGCAACAUAUCCUGUAUUUCGUGCUCACUAAAUGUUUGUUCUAAUGUCAUAAAUACAUGCCUUAAAUCAUUCAUGGAGAUAUGGCCUUUCUGUGUCCGGUCAAACACGCUAAAUGUCUGUCGUGCCAACUCUUCCUCUGAAAGCACGUGGAGUUUCUUAGUAGU